rnacentral:rRNA from 1 species
UACGAAGGGGACUAGCGUUGUUCGGAAUCACUGGGCGUAAAGCGCACGUAGGCGGAUAUGUAAGUCAGGGGUGAAAUCCCGGGGCUUAACCUCGGAACUGCCUUUGAUACAGCAUAUCUUGAGUCCGAUAGAGGUGGGUGGAAUUCCUAGUGUAGAGGUGAAAUUCGUAGAUAUUAGGAAGAACACCGGUGGCGAAGGCGGCCCACUGGAUCGGUACUGACGCUGAGGUGCGAAAGCGUGGGGAGCAAACAGG